rnacentral:rRNA from 1 species
GACGAACGCUGGCGGCGUGCUUAACACAUGCGAGUCGAACGCUGAAGCUCAGCUUGCUGGGUGGUUGAGUGGCGAACGGGUGAGUAACACGUGAGUAACCUGCCCCCUUCUUUGGGAUAACGCCCGGAAACGGGUGCUAAUACUGGAUAUUCACUGCUCUUCGCAUGGGGGUUGGUGGAAAGGUUUUUUCUGGUGGGGGAUGGGCUCGCGGCCUAUCAGCUUGUUGGUGGGGUGAUGGCCUACCAAGGCUUUGACGGGUAGCCGGCCUGAGAGGGUGACCGGUCACAUUGGGACUGAGAUACGGCCCAGACUCCUACGGGGGGCAGCAGUGGGGAAUAUUGCACAAUGGGCGAAAGCCUGAUGCAGCGACGCCGCGUGAGGGAUGGGGGCCUUCGGGUUGUAAACCUCUUUCGCUAAUGGUCAAGCCGCAACAUUGGUUGUGGUGAGGGUAGUGGGUAAAGAAGCGCCGGCUAACUACGUG